rnacentral:rRNA from 1 species
AACGAACGCUGGCGGCAGGCCUAACACAUGCAAGUCGAACGCUGCAGCAAUGCAGAGUGGCAGACGGGUGAGUAACGCGUGGGAACCUUCCCAAUGGUACGGAAUAGCUCAGGGAAACUUGGGGUAAUACCGUAUAAGCCCCAUGGGGGAAGGAUUUAGCGCCAUUGGAUGGGCCCGCGUCGGAUUAGCUAGUUGGUGAGGUAACGGCGCGCCAAGGCGACGAUCCGUAGCAGGUUGGAGAGAAUGACCAGCCACACUGGGACUGAGACACGGCGCAGACUCCUACGGGAGGCAGGAGUGGGGAAUCUUGGACAAGGGGCGAAAGCCAGGUCCAGCCAUGCCGCGUGAGGGACGAAGGCCUUAGGGUUGUAAAGCUCUUUUGGCGGGGACGAUAAUGACGGUACCCGCAGAAUAAGUCCCGGCUAACUUCGUGCCAGCAGCCGCCGUAA